GGUGUCACAAUAGCUUGGAUUUAAAAAAAAACACUUUUUUCACUGUUAUAGAUUGAAUAGCAGUUAGUUAUCUUCAAGCAGGUGUGUUACGCUAACAGUGGAUACGGUGACCAGUGCCACCAAUUAGAUCUGGUGUCACAAUAGCUUGGAUUUAAAAACAAAACACUUUUUUUCACUGUUAUAGAUUGAAUAGCAGUCAGUGUCCUUAAAGCGGGUGUGUUACGCUAACAGUGGAUACGCUGACCAGUGCCACCAAUUAGAUCUGGUGUCACAAUAGCUUGGAUUUUUAAAAAAAA